rnacentral:rRNA from 1 species
UACGAAGGGGGCUAGCGUUGUUCGGAAUUACUGGGCGUAAAGGGCUCGUAGGCGGCCAACUAAGUCGGAUGUGAGAUCCCCAGGCUCAACCUGGGAACUGCAUCCGAUACUGGAUGGCUUGAAUCCGGGAGAGGGAUGCAGAAUUCCAGGUGUAGCGGUGAAAUGCGUAGAUAUCUGGAGGAAUACCGGUGGCGAAGGCGGCAUCCUGGACCGGCAUUGACGCUGAGACGCGAAAGCGUGGGGAGCGAACAGG